rnacentral:rRNA from 1 species
CAGCCGCCACGGUAAUACGAAGGGGGCUAGCGUUGUUCGGAAUUACUGGGCGUAAAGGGCGCGUAGGCGGCCAUUCAAGUUAGAUGUGAAAGCCCUGGGCUCAACCUAGGAAUUGCAUUUGAUACUGUUUGGCUUGAGUUCGGGAGAGGUGAGUGGAAUUCCCAGUGUAGGGGUGAAAUUCGUAGAUAUCGGAAGGAACACCUGUGGCGAAAGCGGCUCACUGGACAAUAACUGACGCUGAUGCACGAAAGCUAGGGGAGCAAACAGGAUUAGAUACCCCUGUAGUCCCUGUCUCUUAUAC